CCGCGGCGCCCAGGCUCGGGGCUGGCUGCACGUGGAGGAUGCCGCUUUCUCAUCCCCAGCGGCUAGCCAAGCCUAGGAAGGGACCUUCUAGGCUCUGACUUUUCUUGUCCUGGAACAGAGCAGGCUUCAAUUCUGAGCCAAGCUUUUAUUGCCCUUAGCUCGGGUGGAAAACGACAAAAACGUGGGAGUUAGAGGUGCCGGCUGACACGUUGACCUCAGAGCCCGUUCCUGCUUCCGGCGUGCAGUGGAGGUUCUGAGAAACAGACAUGUUUGGGGAAAUAAAUAUUUCUUUUACAAAAUGGGUUCAAUUGCUGACAGCAAGAACCAUUCCAGCCAGAUUAAGCAAACGGAGGCUUAUCAGCAGGGACGAGGUGGCUUCCUGAAUCGCUGGUGCAGCAAAGGCUCCUCACCCCAGGAGAGUGGUGCCCAACCGUGAGGAGCAGCAUAGCCGCCUCAGCAGGAUCACAUGGGGUGCUGAGGCUGCAUCCCUGACACAACCCGAGGGCUUCUGCCCAGCCUCCCACCCAAUUGUUCAUUCAAACUGAUUUGCAAGGGAUCUGGGAAAUGUGGUUUUUAGCUCCAGGCUUGGCAGGAUAGGGAGGAACACUAGAUGAGGUCAGAAUGGAGUGUGAGCUAGCUCAGCCCAAUAAACACACUUGGUUUGUCAUA